UACGUAGGGGGCAAGCGUUGUCCGGAAUCAUUGGGCGUAAAGCGCGUGUAGGCGGCCAGACCAGUCCGCUGUGAAAACUCGAGGCUCAACUUCGAGCUGUCGGUGGAAACUUUCUGGCUAGAGUCCGGAAGAGGAGAAUGGAAUUCCUGGUGUAGCGGUGAAAUGCGCAGAUAUCAGGAAGAACACCCGUGGCGAAGGCGGUUCUCUGGGACGGUACUGACGCUGAGACGCGAAAGCGUGGGGAGCGAACAGG
rnacentral:rRNA from 1 species